CUUGUCUCAUGUUGCCAGCACGUAAUGGUGGGGACUCGUGAGAGACUGCCGGGGUCAACUCGGAGGAAGGUGGGGAUGACGUCAAGUCAUCAUGCCCCUUAUGUCCAGGGCUUCACACAUGCUACAAUGGCCGGUACAAAGGGCUGCGAUGCCGCGAGGUUAAGCGAAUCCUUAAAAGCCGGUCUCAGUUCGGAUCGGGGUCUGCAACUCGACCCCGUGAAGUCGGAGUCGCUAGUAAUCGCAGAUCAGCAACGCUGCGGUGAAUACGUUCCCGGGCCUUGUACACACCGCCCGUCGCGUCAUGAAAGUCGGUAACACCCGAAGCCAGUGGCCUAACCCUCGGGAGGGAGCUGUCGAAGGUGGGAUCGGCGAUUGGGACGAAGUCGUAACAAGGUAGCCGUACCGGAAGGUGCGGCUGGAUCACCUCCUUUCUAAGGAGCACCACGAAAACGCCCCAACUGGUG
rnacentral:rRNA from 1 species